rnacentral:rRNA from 1 species
UACAGAGGCCCCAAGCGUUACUGAGAAUCACUGGGUUUAAAGGGUGCGUAGGUGGCGCGUUAAGUCCGUUGUGAAAUCCCUGGGCUCAACCCAGGAAUUGCUUCGGAUACUGGCGCGCUUGAGGCCGGUAGGGGUCACUGGAACGUGACGGUGGAGCGGUGAAGUGCGUAGAUAUCGUCAGGAACGCCGAUGGUGAAGACAGGUGACUGGGCCGGAACUGACACUGAGGCACGAAAGCGUGGGGAGCGAACGGG